GCGCUUGCUUUGGUAGCACAUAUACUAAAAUUGGAAUGAUGCAGAGAAGAUUAGCACGGCCCCUGCACAAGGAUGACACGCAGAUUUGCGAAGCGUUCCAUAUUUUU